AUAAUAACUUAGGCUGAUUAUUCUUUGUUUGAAUGGAAUGUCCUAUGGCCAUUCUUUUUUUUCUUUUUUUUUUUUUUUCCUAUGGCCAUUCUUACAUACUGAGUUCUACUAUGAACUUGGGCAGGUUAUUUAAUCUCUGGUUCUCUUUUUUCCUUAUUGUAAGGAUGAUCAUUUUUUAUAUAUCUAGGAUGUUAUGAGGUUUUAUUUUAUCUUUUCACUAUAAAUAAUCAAUGAAUGGCUCCAAACUCCUAAAACAAGUAAGAAAUUUGGUUUUGAUAAUAAGCAAAAAGAUGUAAUUGGUUUAUUUUGUUUUCAACACCCCCUGAGAAAGAGCUCUCUUAGGAGACACAGUGUGGGAUAAGAGAAAGAAGUUUGAACCUAGAAUUAGAAAAGAUGGAUUCAAAUUUUGACUUUGCCACUUAAUAACCUUGGCCAAAUUGCCUGGUCUUUUAAAGUCUCAGUUUCCAUUUCUGUCCAGAGGAAAUGGUGUUACCUACCUUUCAGAGCAGUUCUUUGAUCGUCUAAAGCUCUUUGGGAUGCCCGCAAAGCACCAGCCAGAUUUCAUCUACCUGCGGCAUGUGCC
rnacentral:lncRNA from 10 species